GCGAAGGCGGGUCCUACUUCCACUGUUAAUGGGGUGGUUGCGGGUUCGAGUCCCGUCCGACGCC
rnacentral:tRNA from 1 species